AGCAGGCAAAUCUAGCAUGCUCAACACUUUAUUUCGAAUUGUGGAACUAGAAAGAGGAAGAAUCUUGAUUGACGGUUGUGAUAUUGCAAAGUUUGGUUUGAUGGAUCUACGCAAAGUACUUGGUAUUAUACCACAAUCACCGGUUCUUUUUUCAGGUACACUCUCUCUAUAAUCUUAGUUUCAAUCAUGAUCAUAAGACUAUGAUUAGUUAACUUCCAUUUUUUUUUAUUUUGUCUAGGAACUGUGAGGUUUAAUCUUG
rnacentral:misc_RNA from 1 species